GAUUUUCAAUUUCAACAAAUAGUUUCAUAGCAGAUAGAUUUCCUGAAACAUUUCUCACAUUCUUAAUUCGUUGUUUUCACAUUCAUCGGUUCAAAGGGCAUUUUUUCUGGGCAUUUUCCAGACUCUCGAAAUCAACGAAACACGGCGAAUCUAAUUGCUCAUUUUAGGUAAAUCUAAUUUUACGAUUUGGUGAACUGAAUUAUAUAAGUUUUUUUUUUUUUUUUUUUGUAUUUGAUGAACUCAUGGAAGAUUACUCAUUUGGUGAACUGAUUGUUCAUGAUUUUCAUACUUGACUGCUGAUCGGAAAG
rnacentral:lncRNA from 1 species